rnacentral:rRNA from 1 species
GACGAACGCUGGCAGUGUGCUUAACACAUGCAAGUCGAACGGAAAGGCCCUGCUUUUGUGGGGUGCUCGAGUGGCGAACGGGUGAGUAACACGUGAGUAACCUGCCCUUGACUUUGGGAUAACUUCAGGAAACUGGGGCUAAUACCGGAUAGGAGCUCCUGCUGCAUGGUGGGGGUUGGAAAGUUUCGGCGGUUGGGGAUGGACUCGCGGCUUAUCAGCUUGUUGGUGGGGUAGUGGCUUACCAAGGCUUUGACGGGUAGCCGGCCUGAGAGGGUGACCGGCCACAUUGGGACUGAGAUACGGCCCAGACUCCUACGGGAGGCAGCAGUGGGGAAUAUUGCAUAAUGGGCGGAAGCCUGAUGCAGCAACGCCGCGUGCGGGAUGACGGCCUUCGGGUUGUAAACCGCUUUCGCCUGUGACGAAGCGUGAGUGACGGUAAUGGGUAAAGAAGCACCGGCUAACUACGUG